AACAAUCGCAAAGAAAACCUCCUUUCUCUGUUUGGAUAUCAAAGUUCAUAUGGUAUCAGAGUGGGUACAGUAGCUUGUAGAAUCGAUUGCUUGUUUCUGUUAGCCAUUGAAAGUGAAAUUUGAAGAUGAAGGAGAGUAAUGCAGCAAGAGAUCAAAGCAUUAUGAAUUUCUUCAAGGAAUCAUUAAAGAAUCAUGAAACAAUUGAUGAUCAAUUUGCAUUGCAAAGCUCGGAUCACCCAAGGAUGGUCCUUGUUUCAGCGCAAUUAACAGGGAAGAAUUACAGAUCGUGAAGUAGGGCAAUGAAGAUUGCUCUUGGUGCCAAAAACAAAUUAGGUUUUGUUAAUGCCAAAAUUGAAGCUCCAGAGGAAGGAUCUGAGGGGUUUGAAAGAUGGAAGAGGUGUGACUGCAUGGUCGCAUAUUGCAAAGGAUCUGGUUGGGGUAUUUCUCUAUGCGACGUCCUUGAAGGAGCUAUGGGAUGAAAUUUCAGAGAGGUUCGGUGGGAGUAACGGGCCAAUGAUAUAUCAGAUCAAGAGAAGGAUAGCGUUACUGAUGCAAGAUGGAUUAUCCAUUGCCAGUUAUUAUACAAAAUUGAAGGAACUUUGGGAUGAACUGGAAAAUAUUAGAGCAAUUCUGUCAUGUACAUGUGGAUCUGUGAAGAUUUCUACAGAGGUGCAUAACUGUGAUAAGUUGAUGCAAUUUCUUAUGGGGCUUAAUGGUGCCUAUGAUCAGUUAAGAAGCCAAAUCCUCCUUCAUGAUCCCUUACCAAGUGUAAUCAAAGCC
rnacentral:misc_RNA from 1 species